AGCCACGGGCCUUCGCCACAGCCACAGCAACGCGGGAUCUGAGCCGCAUCUGUGAGCUACACCACAGCUCAUGGCAAUGCCGGAUCCUUAACCCACUUAGAGAGGCCAGGGAUUGAACCUGCAAUCUCAUGGUUCCUAGCUGGGUUCAUUUUCGCUGUGCCACGACGGGAACUCCAAGGUAAUUUUUUCAUUGAAGUAUAAUAGACAAACCAUACCAUAUUAGUUUCAGGUGUACAAUUCCAGUGAUUUAUUAAUACUCAUUUUGAAAUGGUCACCACAAUAAGUCUAGUUACCAUCUGAAAAGGUAAUUUUUAAGACUCAGCAAAUUAACAUACCAAGCAACCUUCAUUUUUCUGAAACAUUUUAAGCUCAUUUCAAUGUUUUCAAUGAAAGACUUCUAAAAUAAAAGCGGAAAUCCCAAGCAAGAAAACGGAAACUAAAUGCAGUGUGGUGCCUAUGAAGUUCAUUGCAGAGAGUCAGGAAAAGGGUCCCGUUAACGACUUGCUUCUGCUCUGGGGGGAUUCGUGGAGAAAGAAGAAAAGAAAGAUGGAGCUUGUCUAUUUUAAUGUUAUUACCAAUAAAUCCAUGGCUAUUUUAGGGGAAUUUAGAUUUACGAUAGGCUCAAUCUGGCCCCUUUAUGCGGAUAGAAGUUUCGUCUCCUAUAAAUGAUACCCCUUCUCCUCACAGUGCAGCUGGCUUCAUUACACACGUUGCAUAGACACAGACAAGGGCUCACUGUCCUAUGCGCUAACACCUGAUUCAUGGGGUUUCUUGCUUUCUGUGCCAUCAGCAGAGGCAGCACAUUCACACCCGGCCUCCAGCCUCCCUGCAGGAGUUACCUCUGCGACCACUGGAAUUCCUAAGGCCAGAUGCAAACGUCCCACUUGUGACCCCGCUAGAGUCACACAGAAUGACGCUUUCUCUUUCCUCCUUAGUUACUGUGGGAAACGGAAACUGCUUAUUCAGGGAUGGUUUUCUGCAGUCUGGUGAACUGCUUGAGUUUCACUCAACAGCUCGAACAGGGAGGGGCUGGCUGGCCGGAGCUCUUGUACAUUUUCUCCCCAUUUCAGCCUCUGGUUGUCAAGGCCGGGCAGUGGGUGGAUGGAGUGGGGACUAGACCGUUGCCCUCAUCUCCUCAGGACGUGUCACCUGAAUAGCGAAAAGGAGGGACCACUGCAAAUGGUGCUGUCGGCAGUCGGAGAAUUCCAAGGUGUGCUGUCUGCUCUCCUUGAGCCUGGGCUGCCCGGCAAACAGCCUGCUGCAGAACCAAGGCAGAGGACUUCCACCACAUUGGUGAGCAGAAGUGAUGAGAACUGACAUCCUUAUCUUGCACCAAUCUUCAGGGAAAAGUGUGUUCAGUGCUUAACAGUGAAGUUUGACAUUAGCUUGGAUUUGUCAUGGAUGCCCUUUAUCAGAAGCUCCUUCUGUCUCUAAUUUGCUGAGAGCUUAUGAGUGAAUUUUGUCAAAUGUUUUUUCUGCAUCUAUUGAGAUGAUUACACGGUUUUCUUUUAUAUAAUGUAUAAAUACGGUGAAUCAUACUGAUUAAUUUCCAAUGUUCAACCAACUCUGCAUUCCUAUGAUAAACCCCAUUUGGUUAUAAUGUAUUAUCCUUUUUAUACAGUUGAUUAAUAUUUUAAAGGAUUUUUCUGUCUAUGAUCAUAAGGGAUAUUGGAUUAGUUUCCUUUUUGUAAUAACUUUGAUUUUGGUAUCGGGGUCAUUCUGGUUUCACAAAAUUAGUUGGGAAAUAUCCCUUCCUCAUCUAAUUUUUGAAAGAAUUGGGAGUUCCUGUUGCGGCACAGCAGAAAUGAAUCUGACUGCAACCAUGAGGUUGCAGGUUCGAUCCCUGGCUUUGCUCAGUGGGUUAAGGAUCCGGCAUUGCCAUGAGCUGUGGUGUAUAGGUCGCAGAUGUGGCUGCGAUCUGGCAUUGCUGUGGCUGUGGUGUAGGCUGGCAGCUGUAGCUCCGAUUCGACCCCUAGCCUGGGAACCUCCAUAUGGCACAGGUGGCUCUAAAAAGCAAAAAAAAAAAAAAAAAAAAAAAAAAGAAUUGGACUAAGUAUCUUCAUUUCUUUGGGUAUUAUUUUUUCGUUAAAGUAUGGUAGAAUUUACCAGUGAAGCCAGCUGGGCCUGGAGCUUUUUUCCUAGUAAGCUUCUGAAUUACAAAUAUUUUUUUUCUCAUUAAACAUUCCCUGGACAAGAUGAUCAUUAAGAAAUACUCAGCUUGACUAUCUGAAAAUGCUAUAUAAGAACCAAGUGCAUGAUAAUUUUAAAAUUUAUACAUUUUGAUAAGCAAGGUGGUUUAAAAUAGUCACAAAGGUCACAGAUUACCCACAAUUAUGAACAAUACCAUAACGUGUUCAACUGUAUCCUAAAUUUAAUACUUGUGAGAGUUUGUGAGUUAGACUAUACAUGCACAUGCUGGGACGAUUUCUUUCCCUAACAUGCCUGGUGCCUAUAAAACUGGUCUCAAACAUCUGGAAAGAUUGGCUUUACAAAAUGAAGAUGGAAUAGAAAGGAGUCCACAAUUAAAUACCACGUUCAGCAAUUGGGGAAACGGUUCACAAACUUGAAUUUCCCUGAUGUAUUGUUGAACAAACUGCCUGGAGCACAUUUUCACAUCUACUUUCUGAAUGUUUUCCACAACUGAGAAACUCAUAUGGUCUCUUUUGUUUCCCUGCCUCCUGGGGACAGAAACUUGGCAACUGUGCUUGGGGUAUUUUAAUCAGGUAAGUUUUCCUGGUUCUUCCUGUUAAUCACAUCGGACAGCGCAGCGCAGCAUUUGCUUGCAAUGUGAAACAGAGAGUUACUCUCCAGACGAGGUUCAUAACCCUUUAUGAGUCCUUUCCCCUGUCAUCUCUCCCCCGAAUGGGAGCUUUUUUGGCAAGAAACGUGCUGAGCCCCAGAGCCAGCAAACAGAGACACACCGUCUCCUUCGCUAAGAAAGCAGCGGUGCUGACGAAGGGCCCCGCCAUCGGCGGUCAGGAUGCAGACCGCUGGCUGCGCGGACUCGGCAGGGAGAAGGUCGGGGGUCUCGUAAACCUACAGGCUCAACCAGACCUUUAAUGCCACAGACGUUUGAGACAGCAUCUGGAGUCUAAUAUCACAAUAGCUGGCUGGGGAAUUUGAUCAUUUCGGGUUUCUUACUCUAUCCGCACAGUGCCGCUGGGGAAGCUGGAAGUGAAAAAACAGCCGCUUUCGUCUCUAUCUUUAUAGAACCUGACCACUCGUCAGCGUCUUCUUUGCUUCUUAGGUGAAAACCCGAGCGAUAAGAUCUACGAGCGUGGAACUAAACACUAACUUAAAAAUGGACAACAAUCUAAGUUCAGGACCCAAAGCAAUCACUGAAAGAGGGUGCCUGGAAGAUAGAAAGCUCACUGCCAAGACGAGAACUGUCCUCUCCUGGAGCUGUAGAAGUUCCUGCUGUUUCCUUCUCUGUCUCUCUCUCUGUUUGACGAAGGGAAAUUAUCGAGGGGAUAUGAAAGAUUCAAAAAAAAAAAAAAGUUUCUAUUUUUACACAAGACAACACUAACAGAGUUUAGUUCUAGUAACGAUGGAAGGGAAUUACUGCAAGAAUUCAAUAAUACGCAUGGAACAACACGCAUAUGGAUGGCCCACAGUAACUCACUCAUGUACGUAUGGCGGGUGUCUUCUACUAUUAUCUCAUUAUCGCCAUUCUCCUACUUAAACCACCUGACUGUAUGUUAACCAAUGAACCACCAAACAAACGUGUACCGGUCACUUCUUGUGUACCUAGUACUCAAACAUCAGCAAAGAAUUAAAAAUGUCUAGUUCGGAAGGUUUAAUGGUACCAACAUUUACUGAGCACCUCCUCUACGCCCGGCACUCUCUGUGCAUUGAUUUACUUGUAUUAUUUCCUUUAAUCCCUGAAGCAUCUCUUCGUGGUAGAUACUAGAUACUAGUAAGUGCAAUACUUAAAUAAUGUUCUUAGGCUUGUCAUUUAGAGAUCGCAACACCCUAAAGUUUUAUUUUACGAUUAAGAACAACUUUUUAGAAUAUAAGGGAUACUGGUAACCCUUCGAACUCUUCAGCUUACAGAUCAAAGAUGCUGAAAAGUUUGAAUGAUUUAUUGAAAACAAUGCAGCAAAUAUUUAAAAUUUUUCUUGUAGGUCAUCAGAUCCUACGAUCAGAUUACCAGAUUGUUCUUAAAGAAAGCCCUUCCUUGAAAGAGAUAUGGAGCAGAUAUAACAAUAUAUUAGCACUGACUGAUUGCUGGGGUUGGGGACAAAUAAUAUUUGUAGUUUUUCCCUGAGUUUUUCUGUAUCUCUAAAUUUUUUGAUUAAAAAAAAAAUUGCUUCA